rnacentral:lncRNA from 1 species
CCUGGUUUCUGUAUUCUAGUAUUAUCUCUUUAUGUAAUUCCUGUAUUUUUUUUCACUGCCGCUGAAUGAGAUUGAGUUUGGACUUGAAAUUUUAUGCAUAUAUAAUAUCAAUUUCUAACUUAUGUUAUUUUUUAGAAUUCUUAAACCUUUUACAAAGGUUUUCACGGAGCUUUCAGCAUAAAGUUGUUAUCACCAGAUACGCCGCGCAAUAUGUGUGGUUCUGUAUUAUUUACUCAAUUUGUCGUUCGCAGCCAAAACAGAUGUGUUGCGACAAGAUAGACUAUCCGUACUGUUUUUCCUCAUAAAUAAAGCUUCAUAUUGACAACAACAAUCCUCCUCUCUGCUAUCUUUUCCCCCAUAACAGAAUCCUUCUUAUAUUUCCUCAAAAAUCUGCAUAGCAGGUUUCGUCUUCAUAUAACACUAGAUGAUGCCCUGUGCAUUGCUGCGGAAUCCUGUUAAAACAAAUGCAUAAAUAGAUGAUUAAAAAUAACUAAAACUAAUGAGAAAAAUAUGUAAAAUUGUUCUUGUUUUACAUUUGAAAACAAUAAAACAAACGAAUAUGUGACG